UUGCUUUUUCUUAGAUAUGUAUUAUUAGUUUCUAAGUUGUUCUUGUUAGUGACACUAUCACUAAUACCUUUAAUAUUAUCAUUAUUAUGAGAAUUACCAAUAUUAGUUUCAUUUUCUUCUUUGAGUUGUUUAGAUUUUUCUAACUCCGCACUUAGGUCUUUGUCAAAUUCUAAUUUAUCAACAUCCUUAAUGGUCAAAUAUUCAAAAUAUAUAGCAUGUAUUACCUCAAAAACAUUAUUAGUCUUUAAUUUAAAAAUCUACAUGCUUUACUAUGCAAAGAAUAACCAAUAAAAAUAGUUUUUAUAACUUUACUUCCUA
rnacentral:lncRNA from 1 species